UACAGAGGUGGCAAGCGUUGUUCGGAAUUACUGGGCGUAAAGGGCGCGUAGGCGGCCUUCUAAGUCAGACGUGAAAUCCCCCGGCUUAACCUGGGAACUGCGUCUGAUACUGGGAGGCUAGAGUAUGGGAGAGGGAUGUAGAAUUCCAGGUGUAGCGGUGAAAUGCGUAGAUAUCUGGAGGAAUACCGGUGGCGAAGGCGGCAUCCUGAACCAUUACUGACGCUGAGGCGCGAAAGCUAGGGGAGCAAACGGG
rnacentral:rRNA from 1 species